AUUCCUAACACGCCGAGGUAAUUCAUUGAAAAACACACCCACGUACUGAGGUACCAAAAACUACAGAGGUACUUUUUCCCGUUACCUCGGAACGAGUACCUCGCCAAACGCUUGUAAAUACCAUAUCCCACAUUUUCGGCUCGUUUCCACGGGUACCUCGAAAUAACGUUGUAGUACUUGUUUGUGUGUCAGAGUGUGACCCCACACACUUGACGUUCAUCUUGGAUAUUUGGUUGGUUUCUGUGGUUCCAGUCUUGAAAAGCGGGAAUAGAAUAGCACCAACAGGGAACCAUCGUACCAAAAGCCGACAAACUCCUCACAGCAGUUACUUCCCUUAGGCAUGCGCCCGGUCAUUAAUCCGAGUGGUGUAGGUUCCAGCUGGUGUCAUUGGAUUAUUUUAUAGAAUAAGAAAAUGAGGACAACGCCCAAGAAUGGCAAGAAGAAAGUGGUUUAUAAGAAAAAGGUCGAACACAUGUCGAGGUCAUGCCCCAUAUGUAGCCUGCAAGGUAUCACGACGCUGUAUGCGAGGGUCAGCGACUAUAUCUGGCGCAAGCACAAGCUGUCGGCCGAGCAGGCGAAGCAGCUUUCGUCCGAGCAAAGGGCCGCCACUUGCAGAUGAACGAACAGCGAACGCCGGUAUUACCAGUGCUCAGCACCUGCGCCAGACAGAUAUCAAGGACAGAGGCUCCCUGGACUAGUGCUCAGGAAGAGCGAAAUCAAGAAGAGUGAUGCAGAAACGGAAGGUGCCUGCCUCCGCCGCAGCGUACAGGUCAGCAACCGCAUCCGGGUCCGCUGCCGGUUAUGGUUCGGCCAACCCACAGCCGCCACCACGCCCAGAAGAGAGCUCUUCAGAGGGUGAGCAGACACUGGACACCUUCCUCACCCGGGACUGCUGUCUCAGCCUCGGCCCGCAUUCUCGCGUCAUGCUUUGUCGUUAAAGCUUUUCGAUUGUGGAAGAAUUCAUCAUGCAUGCGGCCACGCGCUGUGGGUGGAAGUGCAAUGUGGCGAAGCGCCUGGAGUCCAAAUGAAGCUGAACCGCUUCCUGGCCCUGAGCGGGUACACUGAGGGGGCCAUGUUUGCAGACGUGCUGGUGUGAGGAGGACACAUGGAGGUCCACGACAACUACCUAACCAAGGCCCACCAGCCAGGAACAGUUCGAUCCGCCCUGACAGUGUUUGAGCCUUCUUGAAGUGGGCCGGGGACAAAAAGCAUGCACCAGCACCAACGGUGGAGGAAGCCGAUCGCACUAUCCAGGGCUGCCUGUCAGCCACCCGCGUCGCUCUGCCCCGGCCGCCGCCCCGAAGCAGCAACCACAGCGUGAGGAAACGAUGUACAAUGAAACAGAUGGGCACGAUUUCACGCAUCAUAGCGACGACGACACGAAUGUCCCUCUGCCGUCGGUCGUCGGUCGCCGCCCCGGAACCUGACCAUGACACUGACACUCAGGCCCUAGACUUGGAGACCGGCCUGACGGAUUCCCUGGGGGAAAUCAAGGAUGCCCAGUGUGAGUCAUCAUCAUCCUCAUCGAUACCGAUCCGUGUUGUGUCCAGGAAGAGGCUGCGACAGGUGUCCUCCAGUGACGAGGAGGACCCAUACACUACGAAAUAUUGUGAAAAAUCUCAAGUUACAAAAGUCUCACUGAGUUGCUUUUCCGUGAGCUCACAUUACCCGUGUCGGCUGACAAAACUGGUUUUUGUACCCAGGAAAUUGUUGUAUAUAUAUUUUUUUAUGUUCUCGUUGUAUUUAUGUAUUUCUAUGCCAAGUAGUCGUUUUACCCUGGAACGUGACUUUAUUAUGUUGUACAUAUGUUGUUUAAUUAAUAUACUUUGUAAGUACUGGUACUACUGGUUCUACUAACCCUACCCAGGUAAAUUACUUGAUUUAUUGUUAUAUAUAAUCAACAUAUACGCAUGAAUAAUUAGUACUGGUUCUGCCCAGGGUUUUUUGUCUGAAACUAUUAAAAUAAUACACACAUCAGUGUAUUAAUAUUACAGA